GUCAGUGUGGCAUAGUGGUUUAAAUGUUGGACUACAGCUCUGGAGAUAAGGGUUCAAUUCCCUGCUCAGCCA